rnacentral:rRNA from 1 species
UACAGAGGUCUCAAGCGUUGUUCGGAUUCAUUGGGCGUAAAGGGUGCGUAGGUGGCGCCGUAAGUCGGGUGUGAAAUUUCGGAGCUUAACUCCGAAACUGCAUUCGAUACUGCGGUGCUUGAGGACUGGAGAGGAGACUGGAAUUCAUGGUGUAGCAGUGAAAUGCGUAGAGAUCAUGAGGAACACCUGCGGCGAAGGCGGGUUGCUGGGCCGACACUGACGCUGAUGCGCGAAAGCCAGGGGAGCGAACGGG